CCUACGGGAGGCAGCAGUGGGGAAUAUUGGGCAAUGGAGGCAACUCUGACCCAGCAACGCCGCGUGAAUGAUGAAGGUCUUCGGAUUGUAAAGUUCUUUUCUAAGGGACGAAGAAAGUGACGGUACCUGAGGAAUAAGCCUCGGCUAACUACGUGCCAGCAGCCGCGGUAAUACGUAGGAGGCGAGCGUUAUCCGGAAUGACUGGGCGUAAAGGGUGCGUAGGUGGUUUGGCAAGUUAGUAGCGUAACUCCAAGGCUCAACCUUGGAACUACUACUAAAACUGUUGGUCUUGAGUGCAGGAGGGGCAACCGGAAUUCCGAGUGUAGCGGUGGAAUGCGUAGAUAUUAGGAGGAACACCAGUGGCGAAGGCGGGUUGCUGGACUGUAACUGACACUGAGGCACGAAAGCGUGGGGAGCAAACAGGAUUAGAUACCCGAGUAGUC
rnacentral:rRNA from 1 species